AUACCUUUCUCGGCCUUUUGGCUAAGAUCAAGUGUAGUAUCUGUUCUUAUCAGUUUAAUAUCUGAUAUGUGAUCCAAUGGGUCACACGAUAUUAAAUUACUUUUUUGAGGGGGAGAAACCACCUCAGUAGCUUGCUGCUGGGUUUAUCAUGUGUCGCUUAUGUGUUGCACUAUUACAUAAGCCUGGCGCACCCCACCAAUUCUAGUUCAAUUUUUUCAAAUAAUAAUUAGGUUUAAUAUGUCUUUAUUCCCUACAAUUUAGGCGAGUUUUGGUUUACUUUUGUCAAUAAAGAGUUUAAAUUUUAACCCUAGAAUAUGAAGAUUUUUCGCAAAACAUGCCUUUAACAAGAUUCUUCAUAAAACAUCCGCUGACCUCAUCCGGCCAUUUUUUUUAAAACCUGACAUGUGUGUAAAGGACACUAAUGUGGCAUGCCAUUGUGUAAUUAUUACAACAUCCG
rnacentral:snRNA from 1 species